GAUCUGCCUUCCCCCACCUGCAAAUGCAGCAUGGUCAGCUAACCAAUUGAUGAUUUGCGAUAUUACGAGUUAGGCCCAGUUUAUCACUUUCUUCCAGUUUGUUGCCAACAAUCUGGCAGUGUCAUAAGGGAGUACACUGUUUGUUGCCAACGAUCUGGCAGUGCCAUAAGGGAGUACAUGUGUUUCAUCUGAAAAUAUAACACCGGGUUGAUUUGUAUUCUCCUUUUGAUGUGUUGACUAACACAUUCAAUCCGUAAGGUUAGUUUCUCUUUCUGUUGCUUGCCCAUUGUCCUUGCUUAAAUGUCCAUUGUCAUUUCCUUGUUUGAAGUUGCCUCUUGAGUUUGUACAUAAUGUUGUACAAUGUUAUUGGACCUUAGCUAAAAUCUGCAAAAUAUUCAUACAAAUGUCACCACUUAGAUUCUGGAAUAUAUUUAUAAUGGUCACAAUAUAUUUAUAAUGGUUACUAUCAAUUGAUAGAGGUCUUAAAUUGUUGUAUAAUUAACCAAAAUUUGAUUGAGAAUGGCUGCAGCGUCACUCAUGAGUGUGUCCAAGGGGUUGGAAGAGGAAGAGGAGGACGUAGGUGGGGCGGAAGGAGCUGUCGCAUCGGAGCAAAAGGAGUAGCCAAAGGAGGAUGGAAGGGCUGUCGAGGAAAUUUUCUCAAGCGCACACUGUUGGAUGCUAUUAUAACUCAGCCUGGAUGGCCACCCAACCCAAAUGCCCUCCCUUUACCACUAUGGUGGCGGCGAUGGCGGGAAGAGCAGAGCUCCACUCCAAGCACCCGGUGUUAAAAUAAACCAAAACUUAUAGUUUAAAUUCUGAUUUAAUUCUAUUGUUUGCGCGAUUGUUCUGGUUAAUAGGUUCUUGCGAACGGAACACAGCUUGCUUGCUCUCAAACACGUGUAGAGUUUCUCCUCUUUCAUUCUAUGGCUGAUCGCUGGCAAAGCUCUGAAAUCAUUUGGAUUGUUGUUAUUCAAGCUAUGGUAUCAGGAAGGACUUAUGUUGAGGAGAUUACUGUCAUGUCGCUGUCUGUCCCGGUGUACUACUGGACAAACUACAUCAAGCUUUGCGUCUAGAAGGAGGCAACUUACUGUCCAACUUAAAUAGGUAUUGAGGUUUUGCAGGAUAUUGACAUGGCUCUUUGAUCACAUCUCCUGCUAUUUUCGAUCCUUCAGGUGGUAGAAAUGGCAGGACCACGAUUGUCGCAAAAAUGGUGAGAUAAGGCAAGCAAUCUGCUCUGUUCUGAGUACCUGCCAAAUGGAACUCUUUAUGAGCAUCUUCAAGAUGGGGAAGGAUGUCAGCUAUCUUGGCCCUGUCGUUUGGAGAUCGUGCGCAUUCUAAGUCACUUGCAAACUGACCUGCGGCUUCCAUUCGCCGUCGCCACUGAAUCAUGCUUUCAUGUACACUCCUGGAAACCUGUAUUCCAGAAUCCGGUACACUUCAGAAGGUGCUGCUUGUGAAUUGGCCCUUCGUGCUUUGCAAAUGGAGGCAUGAACAUGGCCUGCAAGGAUUCUCUGGAUUGGCUUGUCCCUUACAUAGGUCAGUGAGGUUAGUUACUCUUUUAGAUUGGAAACGAUCCAGUGGCUGCUCAGCAAAAAGUUUCAGAUAAAAAGGGUACAUAGUGUAAUUGGAAGCUUUAACUUCAAUCUUUGUACCACACAUACUACUAAUACUUACUUGAACAGUGUGCCUUUUGAGGUAUUGUACCACACAUACUACAGAUACUUGCUUGAACAGUGUGACAGAACUAACAUUUGUUGCAUCGAUCAUGUAUUUCUUGUUGAUUUUUGGCGAAAGAGCUUAUACAAAAGCAUUAAAGCUGAAAAAUAGUGCGAAAUCAUACUAAAUUAUGAAUGUAAAAUACUAAAGCAGUUAAAUUUUGGGCUAAUUUUUAAUAUAAAAUAAGCUAACAUUUAUGGUUUAAAUGUUGACUUAACUUUUCCAUUUGCGCGAUAGCGCAACGGGUCA